rnacentral:sRNA from 1 species
UAGAAUGUUUUGUUUGUAAUAUUCAGAUUUGAAGUGUUUGGUUAUGUUUUUAUAUAUAAUAUCGACCAAAUUAAAGUGUCAACGUAUAAGAAAACUUAUAAACAUACCAAAACUUAAAAAUUUCGAAAUUCAAAACUCGAGCGUUGGUAAUAAGUAGCUACUUGGUUGCAAAGUGCGACUGUGUUCUGUUGUCGUCGCAAAAACGUUGCACCUAGGGACUGUUUUGUGACAUUUUUGAAACAUUUUACAAAUAAAAAUGCUCUUUAGUCCCUAUUCGGUCGCACAAUAUUUACUCGAGAAACACUUAAUAAAUUUAACAAAAUUUUAAAACGUUGCACAAUCGUCGCAAUUUAGUCACAAAACAGUUACACAAACGUUGCAACGUGCGACUGUGUUCUGCUGUCGUCGCAAAAAAGUUGCACAAAGCGACUGUUUUGUGACAUUUUGGAAUAGGUCACAAGACAAAGUUUUGAAAUCCACAUAGUUCGAUCCAUUCUAUAGAUAAACAUUACUGAAAAAGAACCAUUUUAGUACAUAAAGAACUUUAGGUAUACAAAUGAUUGGUUUCAAACUUAUUUGAGAACUUGUUUGAAAAGAUCAAUCAUGAAAAUGAAUUCACAUGAACCUUAUCAUGUAGAUUAGGUUUUUUUGAAUGUUUGGUUUGUAAUAUUCAGAUUUGAAGUGUUUGGUUAUGUUUUUAUAUAUAAUAUCGACCAAAUUAAAGUGUCAACGUAUAAGAAAACAUAUAAACAUACCAAAACUUAAAAAUUUCGAAAUUCAAAACUCGAGCGUUGGUAAUAAGUAGCUAAUUGGUUGCAAAGUGCGACUGUGUUCUGUUGUCGUCGCAAAAACGUUGCACCUAGCGACUGUUUUGUGACAUUUUUGAAAUAUUUUACAAAUAAAAAUGCUCGUUAGUCCCUAUUCGGUCGCACAAUAUUUACUCGAGAAACACUUAAUAAAUUUAACAAAAUUUUAAAACGUUGCACAAUCGUCGCAAUUUAGUCACAAAACAGUUACACAAACGUUGCAACGUGCAACUGUAUUCUGAUGUCGUCGCAAAAAAGUUGCACAAAGCGACUGUUUUGUGACAUUUUGGAAUAGGUCACAAGACAAAGUUUUGAAAUCCACAUAGUUCGAUCCAUUCUAUAGAUAAACAUUACUGAAAAACAACCAUUUUAGUACAUAAAGAACUUUAGGUAUAGAAAUGAUUGGUUUCAAACUUAUUUGAGAACUUGUUUGAAAAGAUCAAUCAUGAAAAUGAAUUCACAUGAACCUUAUCAUGUAGAUUAGGUUUUUUUGAAUGUUUGGUUUGUAAUAUUCAGAUUUGAAGUGUUUGGUUAUGUUUUUAUAUAUAAUAUCGACCAAAUUAAAGUGUCAACGUAUAAGAAAACAUAUAAACAUACCAGAACUUAAAAAUUUCGAAAUUUAAAACUCGAGCGUUGGUAAUAAGUAGCUAAUUGGUUGCAAAGUACGACUGUGUUCUGUUGUCGUCGCAAAAACGUUGCACCUAGCGACUGUUUUGUGAUAUUUUUGAAAUAUUUUACAAAUAAAAAUGCUCGUUAGUCCCUAUUCGGUCGCACAAUAUUUACUCGAGAAACACUUAAUAAAUUUAACAAAAUUUUAAAACGUUGCACAAUCGUCGCAAUUUAGUCACAAAACAGUUACACAAACGUUGCAACGUGCGACUGUGUUCUGCUGUCGUCGCAAAAAAGUUGCACAAAGCGACUGUUUUGUGACAUUUUGGAAUAGGUCACAAGACAAAGUUUUGAAAUCCACAUAGUUCGAUCCAUUCUAUAGAUAAACAUUACUGAAAAACAACCAUUUUAGUACAUAAAGAACUUUAGGUAUACAAAUGAUUGGUUUCAAACUUAUUUGAGAACUUGUUUGAAAAGAUCAAUCAUGAAAAUGAAUUCACAUGAACCUUAUCAUGUAGAUUAGGUUUUUUUGAAUGUUUGGUUUGUAAUAUUCAGAUUUGAAGUGUUUGGUUAUGUUUUUAUAUAUAAUAUCGACCAAAUUAAAGUGUCAACGUAUAAGAAAACAUAUAAACAUACCAAAACUUAAAAAUUUCGAAAUUCAAAACUCGAGCGUUAAGAAUAAGUAGCUAAUUGGUUGCAAAGUGCGACUGUGUUCUGUUGUCGUCGCAAAAACGUUGCACCUAGGGGACUGUUUUGUGACAUUUUUGAAACAUUUUACAAAUAAAAAUGCUCUUUAGUCCCUAUUCUGUCGCACAAUAUUUACUCGAGAAACACUUAAUAAAUUUAACAAAAUUUUAAAACGUUGCACAAUCGUCGCAAUUUAGUCACAAAACAGUUACACAAACGUUGCAACGUGCGACUGUGUUCUGCUGUCGUCGCAAAAAAGUUGCACAAAGCAACUGUUUUGUGACAUUUUGGAAUAGGUCACAAGACAAACUUUUGAAAUCCACAUAGUUCGAUCCAUUCUAUAGAUAAACAUUAUUGAAAAACAACCAUUUUAGUACAUAAAGAACUUUAGGUAUACAAAUGAUUGGUUUCAAACUUAUUCGAGAACUUGUUUGAAAAGAUCAAUCAUGAAAAUGAAUUCACAUGAACCUUAUCAUGUAGAUUAGGUUUUUUUGACUGUUUUGUUUGUAAUAUUCAGAUUUGAAGUGUUUGGUUAUGUUUUUAUAUAUAAUAUCGACCAAAUUAAAGUGUAAACGUAUAAGAAAACUUAUAAACAUACCAGAACUUAAAAAUUUCGAAAUUCAAAACUCGAGCGUUGGUAAUAAGUAGCUAAUUGGUUGCAAAGUGCGACUGUGUUCUGUUGUCGUCGCAAAAACGUUGCACCUAGCGACUGUUUUGUGACAUUUUUGAAACAUUUUACAAAUAAAAAUGCUCGUUAGUCCCUAUUCGGUCGCACAAUAUUUACUCGAGAAACACUUAAUAAAUUUAACAAAAUUUUAAAACGUUGCACAAUCGUCGCAAUUUAGUCACAAAACAGUUACACAAACGUUGCAACGUGCGACUGUCUUCUGCUGUCGUCGCAAAAAAAUUGCACAAAGCGACUGUUUUGUGACAUUUUAGAAUAGGUCACAAGACAAACUUUUGAAAUCCACAUAGUUCGAUCCAUUCUAUAGAUAAACAUUACUGAAAAACAACCAUUUUAGUACAUAAAGAACUUUAGGUAUACAAAUGAUUGGUUUCAAACUUAUUUGAGAACUUGUUUGAAAAGAUCAAUCAUGAAAAUGAAUUCACAUGAACCUUAUCAUGUAGAUUAGGUUUUUUUC